UACGUAGGGGGCAAGCGUUGUCCGGAAUCAUUGGGCGUAAAGCGCGUGUAGGCGGCUCGAUAAGUCUGCUGUGAAAGUCCAGGCUCAACCCUGGGAUGCCGGUGGAUACUGUCGAGCUCGAGUCCGGAAGAGGCGAGUGGAAUUCCUGGUGUAGCGGUGAAAUGCGCAGAUAUCAGGAGGAACACCAAUGGCGAAGGCAGCUCUCUGGUACGUGACUGACGCUGAGACGCGAAAGCGUGGGGAGCGAACAGG
rnacentral:rRNA from 1 species